GCCGCUCUCGCAGGGCCUGGAGACGGCCGGAGGCGUCAUGACCGUGCUGAUCCCGAGGAACACGACAAUCCCCACCAAGAAGGAGCAGGUCUUCUCCACCUACUCUGACAACCAGCCCGGCGUGCUCAUCCAGGUGUAUGAGGGCGAGAGGGCGAGGACCAAGGACAACAACCUGCUCGGCAAGUUCGAGCUCUCUGGGAUCCCACCGGCGCCCAGGGGUGUCCCCCAGAUCACCGUGUGCUUUGACAUUGAUGCCAACGGUAUCCUGAACG
rnacentral:lncRNA from 1 species